UGGGGAAUAUUGCACAAUGGGCGCAAGCCUGAUGCAGCAACGCCGCGUGAGGGACGACGGCCUUCGGGUUGUAAACCUCUUUUAGUAGGGAAGAAGCGAAAGUGACGGUACCUGCAGAAAAAGCACCGGCUAACUACGUGCCAGCAGCCGCGGUAAUACGUAGGGUGCGAGCGUUGUCCGGAAUUAUUGGGCGUAAAGAGCUCGUAGGCGGUCUGUCGCGUCUGCUGUGAAAACCCGAGGCUCAACCUCGGGCCUGCAGUGGGUACGGGCAGACUAGAGUGCGGUAGGGGAGAAUGGAAUUCCUGGUGUAGCGGUGGAAUGCGCAGAUAUCAGGAGGAACACCGAUGGCGAAGGCAGUUCUCUGGGCCGUAACUGACGCUGAGGAGCGAAAGCGUGGGGAGCGAACAGGAUUAGAUACCCUGGUAGUCCACGCCGUAAACGUUGGGCGCUAGAUGUGGGGACCAUUCCGCGGUUUCCGUGUCGCAGCUAACGCAUUAAGCGCCCCGCCUGGGGAGUACGGCCGCAAGG
rnacentral:rRNA from 1 species